AGGGGGUCCCGCGGCGGGCCCGCCCCCGGGACGCGCGACCCCUCCACCCAGCGUAGCUGGAGAACCCCGAGGGUAGGCUGGGAGGAGCCAGGGUAUCGAGCACCCACAGGUCACUGGAAGUCUGCGUGCGGUUAGCUGAUGAAGGAACAAAAGACAUAGUUCCUGUGAGCAUCAGCCCAGGGCCCAAGCUUGGGAGGCAAGUCUGUUGUAGAGAGCCUCCAGCCACUAUGCCAAGAAGAGCCUCCAUGUUUACCACUGACCAUGAGCUCACCCAUAGAUCAAAAGUUAGCGAAUUAUGGCCUGUGUGUCAAAUCCAAUCUACAGUCUGCCUUUGUACAUCCUGCAGACGGAUUUGAUGAUUACAGGCCAAAACCACCAUCUCCAGCUUCACCAGCGUUUGUUAGGUUUGAGGCAAGCAUUUUGAAUGAACUGACACAUUUCCGGACUUAUCCAUCACAUAAAUCGAGGAUGGGUGUAUGUGCUCAUGGUAAAAAUUCAAAUAUUACAGGGGCACGGGUGACUCUGAAAGUGAGAGUUCCCCUAUAGUUAUGCUUUCUGAAAAUAAGCAGUGUUUCCAGUCCUUGGUACAUUCUUCCAGAUUUUGUCCACGCUUAUGUACACACAAGCAAGAGGCUGUGACUUUUUGUGCUGUAUAAAAUUGCCUUUCCCUUGACUCUGCCUUGGACAUCUUUUCACGUCAGUUCAUCAAGAGCUAUGAUGUGAGAAGACUCACAUGUGACUCCUCAGACACAUAUCUGUGGUCAGACUCAAUAGAGCAUCAUAAUUCCAGGGGAUCUGCGAGACCAGGAGGGAUGACAUUCACCAAUGCUUGGGAAAUGGCUGACUCUUCUCAGAGAACAUCCCCGCUCAUCGCCCACAACCCAUGACCUGUCCCUCACAGCAGAGCUGCUGGGGACUGCCAUCAUGCUGGCCAAGCCCACCCACUUGUCCCAAAAGGUGACUUCCCAGGCAGAUCUAGUUUAUCAACGGGACACUAUCCUCACAGGAAAAGUCUGAGUUCUAGGAAAGAAAUACACUUACUGGAAAAUAUGCAGAGAAAAACAGCAUAAUCAGAAUGACUACAUGUUUAACAAAAUGCCUACAAAG